GCAGAUGUGGCCGAGCGGUUAAGGCGAUUGACUAGAAAUCAAUUCCUCUCUGAGGGCGUAGGUUCGAAUCCUACCAUCUGCG
rnacentral:tRNA from 1 species